CCUACGGGAGGCAGCAGUGGGGAAUAUUGCACAAUGGGGGGAACCCUGAUGCAGCAACGCCGCGUGGGUGAAGAAGUACUUCGGUAUGUAAAGCCCUGUCAGCAGGGAAGAAAAUGACGGUACCUGACCAAGUAGCCCCGGCUAACUACGUGCCAGCAGCCGCGGUAAUACGUAGGGGGCAAGCGUUAUCCGGAUUUACUGGGUGUAAAGGGAGCGUAGACGGCAAGGCACGUCUGGAGUGAAAGCCCGUGGCUCAACCACGGGACUGCUUUGGAAACUGUGUUGCUGGAGUGCAGGAGGGGUAAGCGGAAUUCCUAGUGUAGCGGUGAAAUGCGUAGAUAUUAGGAGGAACACCGGUGGCGAAGGCGGCUUACUGGACUGUAACUGACGUUGAGGCUCGAAGGCGUGGGGAGCAAACAGGAUUAGAUACCCCAGUAGUC
rnacentral:rRNA from 1 species